rnacentral:tRNA from 1 species
ACUUAGGAUAAUUUAAACCAAGGGCCUUCAAAGCCCUAAAUAGAGGCCGAACCUCUAGUUUCUGCACUACAAGACUUG